rnacentral:rRNA from 1 species
AUGUCUGGGGCAGUGCCCUGUGAAACAUACUUACAGCAAACCGGAUACAGCCGAACAACUAGAUCAGUUAUUCUGAGUGUUUCUAAACAGAUAUUACUUGCCGAGGAGGUGGCGGUCUAUGAUCUCGGACACCGUCUCCAGGAACAGGUUCUCGCUCGUCCCCGGGAGGACGGCGUCCUCCGCUUCCUGGAUGAUGUCCUCGAUCACAGAGUCUCUAUUCACAGUCUCCCUGCACAGUAUACGUCCUAUGUCAUAGGGUGUGAGGCCUCGCGCCGCGCCCUUCUUCAGGAGCAUGGUGCUGAUGCGCAGGACGCGGGCGCAGCUCGAAGACAGCUCCCACCCGUGGAACCUGAGAAGCUUGAUGUCCUCUUCCGCGUCAAGAGAUUCAAUGUAUGCAAUGGUUUCAUCACUGAACCGCUCACGGGCUUGAGGCCAGUAAAGCCACUCGAAGGUGCAAUCCUCAAACUGCAUAAUAACAAGGCAACGAAAUCAACAUUUGCAUGA